GAGAGCUGCGCCUCCUGAGUGGCGCAGUGGUCAGUAUACUGAGAGUGUUUCCGUUUUUAAGAGGACAUAUUUGGGUGUUAUUCCUAUGCAUAGAGCUGGCUCUGGACAUCAGGGAGAAGAAGAGUUUUGGACCCAAACACCCCAGUAUGGCCACAGCAUUGUUCCACCUGGCUAUACUCUGCUGAAAAGUGCUGAGAGGACCAACAGUGCUAACAGUUCACUGCAUACCAGACACGGGUUCAAAUGAGUUUUCCAGGAGUGCCAGAUGUACGGGGUUUGCAGUUUUGGGUCUUGUUUUGGUUAAUUAAGCCAGGCAAGCUCAAACAGGCACAGAUAAAGUGUUUGAAAUGAUUUUUCACAUUAAACCCAGGUCUGCUGCAUGCGUAUUAGGGAAAGAUGGGAACUGCUGGAAAGCAUACAGCAUGUGUAUGGUUUGAUUUGAUUUCCCAGCUUAAUUGGACUUCAAAUCAGACUGUUUCUCCUGGAUUCUAUCUGGACAUUGGUCUGACUGUGUGUUAUUGUGUGUCUGACAGAAAAAGCACAGUGAGUCGCUGCCCCUGUAUAAACAGGCUAUGAGAGUGUAUGAGGACAGUCUGGGAUGCUCACACCCACAGGUCAGAGAAACACUGAAGAACCUAGCUGUACUCAGCUAUGUGGAGGAAAGCAGCAGAGCUCAACAAUCCAUGGAGAUCAAAUAGGCGGAGCAGUCUCUGGUUUGUGGAAGGCCCAUGUCGACACUCGUCCAGUGGGGAUGGGCCUUUAGCCUGCGAGGGCCCACACCUCUCCCACAUGCCCGCAGGUGACCCCUCUCUAUUCCGCCCCUUCCAAGAACACAGGUGGUGGAUCUCAUUUUGCCUUUCAUUCAUCCUGUGUGUCCAUUUCCUCGUCUCCUUCUAGAAAUGCAUUGGUGGAGAAGGUCAGUGGGAGGGACCUUGCAUCUUCUCCUCGAAUGCAUUUUCAGGAGGUGGAAAGGAUAGAGGACAUGAAGAAUCAAGGAAGUACAAUUGAAGGCCAUCCAUGGUUCGCAAUCUGCUUUCCUGAGAAGAACAACGUCCAUCACACUGAAUAGUUUGUUAUGCUGCUUUGAGAUGGAACAGUGUAGUGGUGUCGCCUGUCAAGAGUACUGUAACUAACUUCUGAAAUAAAUUAUGUUUUAAUGUCUGUUCAAUGGCUAUAUUGUUAAGUGUUCAAAAAAUAAAUAUAUAUUAUAAAUGUAAUCAUGAUGUAACAUCUGCUUCCAGCUCACACUCUCAAACACAUAGAUACCCUGAAUGCAGCUCACUCUCCAGAUCCCAAUCACCGGAAUUCUGAUCACCUGUUCACACACCUGUAUGUCAUUAUCACACACUAUUUAGUUCAGUUCUUUGCACCCAAUCAUUGUAGGUAUUGUUUGUUUUGUGACACACUUCUAGCCGGAGCGCUGGUUUUCCUGUAAUAUACGCCUCCCCUGUACUUUCCUGUUAUCAACCUAUUGCCUGAUCUUCUGGAUGAUGUUAAUAGCUUUUUCCCUGCCUGUACUGUUGCCUUUUUGGACCCCCUGUGUUUGACCUGCUUGACCCUGGACUCAGCUACCUGCCUCCUCCUGUGGUCCUUUACAAUAAAUACCUGCUGCGCCCUGUGCUUGAAACCAGCUCUCUCUCUCUCCCAUCGUGUUUAUUACACAUUAAAUUACGUCAACACCAGGUUAUGAAGGUUUUUUAUUGCAUAUUCAAACGUUUCCAAAUUACCACUGCUCUGUCUUCUGUCAAAAUUAAAUUUCAAUUGUAUAAUGAUAAAUCAAUAUCACCAUCGACUGCAAGUCCUCUGGCUGAGUGUCUGCUAAAUUAC
ensembl:lncRNA